rnacentral:rRNA from 1 species
GACGAACGCUGGCGGCGUGCUUAACACAUGCAAGUCGAACGGAAAGGCCCUGCUUUUGUGGGGUGCUCGAGUGGCGAACGGGUGAGUAACACGUGAGUAACCUGCCCUUGACUUUGGGAUAACUUCAGGAAACUGGGGCUAAUACCGGAUAGGAGCUCCUGCUGCAUGGUGGGGGUUGGAAAGUUUCGGCGGUUGGGGAUGGACUCGCGGCUUAUCAGCUUGUUGGUGGGGUAGUGGCUUACCAAGGCUUUGACGGGUAGCCGGCCUGAGAGGGUGACCGGCCACAAUGGGACUGAGGUACGGCCCAGACUCCUACGGGAGGCAGCGGUGGAGAAUAUUGCAGAGUGAGCGGAAGCCUGAUGCAGCAACGCCGGGUGCGGGAUGACGGCCUUCGGGUUGUAAACCGCUUUCGCCUGUGACGAAGCGUGAGUGACGGUAAUGGGUAAAGAAGCACCGGCUAACUACGUG